AUGAACAAGAACAAAACCAAAGCUUCCUAUCCUCUGCUGGAAGAUAUUCCAGACAGAAAGACUUCAGUAAUUGAUAAGCACGUGAGGAAAAGGACUUCUGCAGGAAUAGUUGAAGACAUGGCAGUUCACAAGCACAAGCCAUGGCUGGAGCCGACCUAUCAUGGCAUAGUCACGGAGAAUGACAACGCCGUGCUGCUCCACUCGUCCCUGAUCACGCGGGAUGAAGACGCACCCUUCUGGUUCGCAGGUGAGAUUUGUGGAUUUAAAAUUCACGGGCAGCCGGGCUCGAAUGUCCCCUUUGAUGCAGUAGUAGUGGAUACAUCCACUGGCGAGGGAGUUAUUCGCUGGAAGGAGAAACUGAACUGUGAGUAGUUGGAAGACUUACUCGUUUACCAUCCAGGCCUAGGACCGCGAGAAGGGACCCGAGGGCACUACGGUGAAAAAGUCUCAUAAAGCCACCGUCCUCAUUCAGGUGAAUGAUGUGAACGAAUACGUGCCUGUGCUCAAGAAGUCCUCCAAGGCAGCCGUGGUCGAGGGGAGGCAGGACGACAGCAUCCUGAAGGUGGAGGCCGUGGGCGCAGACUACUCCCCUCCUUGCAGCCAGAUUUGCAGCUACGAAAUCAUCAGCCCCCGACGUGUCAUUGAUGGUGGGCAAGGACGGUUACAUAAACAACCCAGAGAAACUAAAGUAUGGGAAAGAACAUCAGUAUCAACUGACCGUCACCGCCUACGACUGUGGGAAGAGAAGAGCCGCGGAGGACGUGCUGGUGGAGAUCAGCAUGAUGCCCCCCUGCACCCCCGGCUGGCAAGGGUGGAACAACAGGACUGAGUAUGAGCCUGGCACCGGCGCGUUGGCUGUCUUCCCGAAUAUCCACCUGGAGACGUGUGACGAGCCCGUCGCCUCCGUGCAGGCCACGGCGGAGCUGGAGCCCAGCCACAUAAGGAAAGGCUGCGACCACGACACCUGCUCGAGAAGUCCCUUCACCGGCUCUGUGCUGCAGCCGCUGGCACCGCUGAGCUGCCCGGUGUUCCCAGCCGCGCCCUGAACCGGACCCUCGGCCUCCGCACCCACCACGGUCACGACAGCAGCCGGGUCCUGGAGGUCGAUGGCACUCGGGCCGUGAAGAUCCCAGACGGCAUUGUCUCGGUGGUCCUUGAUUUCCGUGUGGAUGAGGCAAGGGCUUUCGGCGGGACGAAAGAGACGAUUCUUUGCAGUUCAGACAAAACGGAGAUGAAUCGGUACCAUUAUUCCCGCUACGUCUCUGGGGUGCCGGUUCAUGUUCCUCCUCCAUCAGGACCCUUCUGAGGAGACCAAGUACAAGACCGCGCAAUUCCACUGGAAGCUGAAUCGGGUCUGUGGCGAAGAAUGGCCUCACGGAGUCCUCGGCGUGGACGGCGCCGCCCAGGAACCCUUCUCGGUGACCGAGGACCACCCGCCCCACCCGGCGGAGAUAGAGACCCAGCUCUUGGUCGGGGCUUGCUGGCAAGGUUGUGUCCUGCGCCUGAUCCAGUGUAUCUGAGGCGAUCUGGCUGGCCUAACGCUCCUUUCUGGAAAACUUGCAGAUGAGAAAGUGACAGACUGUCCGUCUACCUGCAAAGACAGGCUAGACCUACGAGUGCCUAAAGACAGUGGCAGAGGCGUGCAGAUCCAGUCAAGCCCCAGCCAGUCGGGGCGACCUUGGAGGAAGACGAUCUCGGGGAACUGGAUAAGGCCAUGCAACACGUCUCCUACCUGAACUCCUGGCAUGUCCCCACGCCCAGCGUCCGAAGACUCAAAAUCACCAGCUCGAUCAAGUGCUUUAACGGGACCACCUGCACCUCCAUCCCCCCAGUAGAUGGCUUCUUGAUGGUUUUACAGCCCAAAGAGUCUCAGAUCAGCCUGAGCGGCAUCCACCGUUUUGCUCGAGUGUCUUCCGAA